rnacentral:rRNA from 1 species
AGAGUUUGAUCCUGGCUCAGAACGAACGCUGGCGGCAGGCUUAACACAUGCAAGUCGAACGACAUAGUGGCAGACGGGUGAGUAAUGCUUGGGAACUUGCCUUUAGGUGGGGGAUAACAGUUGGAAACGACUGCUAAUACCGCAUAAUGUCUACGGACCAAAGGGGGCUUCGGCUCUCGCCUUGAGAGAGGCCCAAGUGAGAUUAGCUAGUUGGUGGGGUAAAGGCCUACCAAGGCAACGAUCUCUAGCUGUUCUGAGAGGAAGAUCAGCCACACUGGGACUGAGACACGGCCCAGACUCCUACGGGAGGCAGCAGUGGGGAAUAUUGCACAAUGGGGGAAACCCUGAUGCAGCCAUGCCGCGUGUGUGAAGAAGGCCUUCGGGUUGUAAAGCACUUUCAGUUGUGAGGAAAGGUUGGUAGUUAAUACCUGCCAGCUGUGACGUUAACAACAGAAGAAGCACCGGCUAACUCCGUGCCAGCAGCCGCGGUAAUACGGAGGGUGCGAGCGUUAAUCGGAAUUACUGGGCGUAAAGCGCACGCAGGCGGUUUGUUAAGCUAGAUGUGAAAGCCCCGGGCUCAACCCGGGAACUGCCUUUGAUACUGCCGAUCUUGAAUCCGGGAGAGGUGAGCGGAAUUCCAAGUGUAGAGGUGAAAUUCGUAGAUAUUUGGAAGAACACCGGUGGCGAAGGCGGCUCACUGGACCGGUAUUGACGCUGAUGUGCGAAAGUGUGGGUAGCGAACAGGAUUAGAUACCCUGGUAGUCCACACCGUAAACGCUGUCUACUAGCUGUUUGUGAAUUUAAUUCGUGAGUAGCGAAGCUAACGCGCUAAGUAGACCGCCUGGGGAGUACGGCCGCAAGGUUAAAACUCAAAGGAAUUGACGG